rnacentral:lncRNA from 10 species
CCCAGUUCCGAUGACUGUUUCUUAAACCAUGGAACCAUGGCCUUUCUGAACUCAUGAGGAAAAUUGAAGAGUGCUCCGGAUCAUAAAGUAAUUGAAGAAAAACAAUGGGUAAAACAUAAGCCCCCUACUGUCUCGUAGGAAUUUAAAAACCAUAGCCACCCUGUCACAACCUGCUCUCUACCCAAGGUCUCCCAUGACUGCAACGCACACCAAAACCUUGUUUGUAACUGAUGGAUUUGAAGGUGGGAGAUUCAAGUAGAAUAUGUGAGAAAUAGCUUUAACAUUUUACAACCAAAUCAAUAAAAGCUAAAAACACAGUUGCCUCUCCCUGUAUUAACCAGUGCUGGGAACAGGCAAAAAUAUGUGAGUUGCUUGCUCCAGGAAACUAAUAGCCCCGGAAGACAGGAGUAUGAACCAACCAGCAGCUUGCCCAUCGACAGAUCCCUCAGGACCCUCGUCUCAUGGAGCCACCACGCAAAGCUAUUAUGUCAUAAACUCUACCUCAUUCUGACCAGUUCCCCACCUUGCAAGACCUGCCUGAAAAUCCUCAACGCUGGUCCUAAAAACCCGAAAACAUCUCUCUGUACUUUCCCGUGAUGAGACAUUAUGAAGACUUUGUCAAGGUGAUGUUCUCCCUUAGCUUUGUUUGAUCAACAGGUUUUUCUGGGUUUCUUUGACGAGUUAAGAGUUGACGUUAAGCAUGUAUUUGACAAGACAGCCCUGGUAACAUCGCGACCUUAUCAGGGCAAGAUAUUAAAGCAGUAUUAUGGGUGUAAAACACACACGUUUGGAUCCUUCCUGCUACAGCGAUGUGUGCCCCAAAACCAGGGCAGGAGACUCAGACACUGGGGAGCUGAGGGGCACUGUUUCCCCAUGACUGAACAUGGUCAUCACAAUGACUCAGGAACCUUCAAGGGCUCAACCACCCUCACAGCCCCUGGAGUUCCUGCCUUCCACCCAAAUUGCCAUGAAGUGUGUCAUGAGACCCUGCCACCCUGGCCAUACAGACUGGACCAGAAAUGGAGUUCUAACAAAGGCACCUCUAGAUGUUAUAAGCGAGGACAGUGGAGGCUUUUGAGAUGGCAGGAUAUGAGACAUCAGACCAAUAGUCAGGGAAUGCUAAUUAACUCACCAAAUCUUAUUCUCUCUGGGGGUGAGAGAGAAGCAUAGGAAAAAUUACAAUGGGAACCAAGAGAAGUAAUGAGAGAGGCAGCAGGAGAAAUAAUUGGAGAGUCGAGAGAGAAUCUGAGUCAUGAGAACAGAGUCACUAGAUGAGGGAACGGCAGAUGCUCAGUUCUGAUGGGACCACAAAAUAUUGGAGUCAGAGAGCUACUGAUGUAUCCUGAACAGCUGCAGGUCCUGUUCCCAUUCUCCAUGAGGCCUAUGGCUUUGCUGAUGAUUUGUUGUAAUCAUGAUAAGAUAAUAAGUA